CAGCCUUUGGAUGAAGAUGUAGAACUCUCAGCUCUGCCUGUGCCAUGCCUGCCUGGAUGCUGCUGUGCUCUCACCUUGAUGACAAUGGACUGAACCUCUGACUGAACCUGUCUUUAACUGACUGCGUGAGACCCACCCACAUUGGGAGGUAAUCUGCUGUACUCAUACUGUCUAUUCAAGUGUUAAGCACAUUCAGAAACAGUUUCAUGGGCACACCAAGGAUAAUGUUUAACCAAAUAUCUGGAUACCCGCCACUCCAUGGAGAUGAGACAUAACAUGGCUUACCACAGUGGGUGAUGGUUCCUCUCUUGAGGUUUGAGUGCUGUUUCCCCCAUGAUCCAACUCAAAGUCUUCACUGCAUUCUGCAAGGAGUGCAGUUCAUAAACAGUGUUGUGCGUCUCUCAAGUUGCACACCAGCAGGUCAAUUUGAAGAUUGACAUCUUCAUCAUAUUGAUCUUCUGGUCCAUGAAGACUGGCCUAUGUGUGACUUUGCCUACGGUUUCUUGACUCUGGCUGGCUGGCAUUUUAUACUCUCCAGUCUGUAGCUGCUGAAGUACCUGUAUUAAAUGUAAUCUUAGGUGUUGGCUUGAGACUACGUCCGUUCAGCCUUUAUUCCUGUUGAAUAGUUUGGUGCAUUGAUCCUAUCGGACGGCCAGUCCAUCUUUGGCUGCACAGGAGGGGAGAACAGAGUCCCAUACUGUGGUACAUUCCGCACUGCUGAGAUGCUCUGAUUAUUCCAUGCACAUUAUUGGACAUUUGAGUGACGUUGAGUCAUUUCAACCUAAUGAACUGAUUGGAAGCUGACUCGCCCCGAGACCUGCUCUCUUCCCAUGCGCCUGUUGGGUAACCACCAGAGAAGACUGCUCAGGCAUGAAUCUUCUUCCACAUCAUCCGGUGCCUCCCUUACCUGCCCAGCUCGAAGGUCAGGAGCCAUCCUCCAUGUAUCUCGGUCCCUCAAUUCUCCAGAAAGGAGGGUGUGCUGCCUCAGAUGACAAGACAGAUCCUAAUCUCAACCACCCUGGCCUUCUCCACUGCAGUGGCCAGAACUUUUCCAUCCCCAAUGAGAUUGCAAUAGUUCUGUAGCGCCCCUGGGUCUACACUUGCUCUCCUGUCACCCAGCAUGCACACACAAGCAAGAAUGCUCUGUCCAUUGUUGUGCCUCUCCUCAACUUGAAAUUCUUAUGAAAAUUUCCUGCUUCACUUUACAUGGAAUGUGGACGCCUCACAUACCAAAAGUAGUUUACAGUGGCAACCUCCAUUUUCUGGAAGCCUAAGUUUACUGAUAUCUUGCCCACCUCCAUGGGAGCAGACCUGCCCACUCCAGUACUUCUUGCUUAUCAGAACGUCUGUCUGGUGUUGAAUGACAGUUCCAGUUAUCUUGCUAAGUCACUGAUUUGUGGAUGAAAUCUCCUCACAGUGGACCCACUCUGCUCAAGAGCCAGAACCUGUUCCUCCAGACGGCCCAUUACGGCUUCAUGUAUGAGAUAACACUGAAAUCUGACCACCAGUGACUUAGGACCAGACAUUUAUGAACAUAGACUCAAGUUCAGGUUUUAAGGCACAAAUCCAUUGUCUUUGGUACAACGUUUGGGGCUACUCUCAAUGUGGUGGAUUGAAUAUGUUUGGCACAGGGAGUGGCACUCUUAGGAGGUGUGGCCUUGUUGGAGGAAGUGUGUCACUGUGGGGGUGGACUUUGAGGUUCUUAUGUUCAAGCUCUGCCCAGUGUGGAAUGGGAGCUUCCUCCUGACUUUCUGUUGAUAGGCGUCUCCUUCUGCUGCCUUUGGAUGAACUUGCAGAUGGAUGUAGAACUCUCAGCUCCUUCCCCAGCACAGUGUCUGCCUGGAUGCUGCCAUGCUUUCUGCCAUGAUGAUAAUAGACUGAACCUCUGAAACUGUAAUCCAGCCCCAAUGAAAUGUUUUCCUUUCUAAGACUUGCCUUGAUCAUGGUGUCUCUUCACAGCAAUAAAACCCAAACUAAGACGCUUGAUAUUAUGGAC
rnacentral:lncRNA from 1 species